rnacentral:rRNA from 1 species
GGUGAGUAACGCGUACGUAAUCUGCCUAUUGCAGGAGGAUAGCCUGAGGAAACUUAUAUUAAUACUCCAUAAUAUGUUUAUAUUGCAUGAAAUAAACAUCAAAGUAUUGUCGGCAAUAGAGGAGCGUGCGUCCGAUUUAUGCUAGUUGGUAGGAUAACAGCCUACCAAGGCUACGAUUCGGUAGGGGCCUUGAGAGGGGAACCCCCCACACUGGCACUGAGACACAGGCCAGACUCCUACGGGAGGCAGCAGUGAGGAAUAUUGGUCAAUGGAGGAAACUCUGAACCAGCUACGUCGCGUGUAGGAAGAAGGCCUUAUAGGUCGUAAACUACUUUUGUAGUGGAAUAAAGGAUUCUACAUUGAGAAUUUUGAAUGUACUCUACGAAUAAGUAUCGGCUAACUCCGUGCCAGCAGCCGCGGUAAUACGGAGGAUACGAGCGUUAUCCGGAUUUAUUGGGUUUAAAGGGUGCGUAGGCUGUUCAUAAAGUCAGUAGUGAAAUCUUGCAGCUUAACUGUUAAAAUUGCUAUUGAUACUGAUGGACUGGAAUUAUAUCGGAGUAGCUGGAAUAUGUGGUGUAGCGGUGAAAUGCAUAGAUAUCACAUAGAACAUCAAUCGCGAAGGCAAGCUACUAGGUCUAUAUUGACGCUGAGUGCACGAAAGCGUGGGGAGCAAACAGGAUUAGAUACCCUGGUAGUCCACGCUGUAAACGAUGAUCACUAACUAUUGGAUCUUUAGUGUAUUCAGUGGUAAAGCGAAAGUGUUAAGUGAUCCACCUGGGAAGUACGAUCGCAAGAUUGAAACUCAAAGGAAUUGACGGGGGCUCGCACAAGCGGUGGAGUAUGUGGUUUAAUUCGAUGGUACGCGAGGAACCUUACCAAAACUUAAAUGCGUUACGAAAUAAACUAGAAAUAGUUUGCUUUCUUUUUUCUUUUGGACGAAAGGACGGAACGCAAGGUGUUGCAUGGUUGUCGACAGCUCGUGCUGUGAAGUGUUAGGUUAAGUCCUUUAACGAGCGCAACCCCUGUCGUUAGUUACUAUCAGGUUUAGGUAAUGCUGGGGACUCUAACGAGACUGCCGACGUAAGUCGAGAGGAAGGUGGGGAUUACGUCAAAUCAUUACGACUCUUAUGUCUUGGGCUACACACGUACUACAAUGAUCGGUACAAUGGGCUGCCACUGAGUGAUCAGGAGCUAAUCUCUAAAAGCCGAUCUCAGUUCGGAUUGGAGUCUGCAACUCGACUCUAUGAAGUUGGAAUCGCUAGUAAUCGCGUAUCAGCAUGACGCGGUGAAUAUGUUCUCGAGCCUUGUACACACCGCCCGUCAAGCCACGGAAAUCGGUGGUACUUGAAGUCGGU